AUGAACGCUAGCUACAGGCUUAACACAUGCAAGUCGAGGGGCAGCAUGGUCUUAGCUUGCUAAGGCCGAUGGCGACCGGCGCACGGGUGAGUAACACGUAUCCAACCUGCCGUCUACUCUUGGACAGCCUUCUGAAAGGAAGAUUAAUACAAGAUGGCAUCAUGAGUCCGCAUGUUCACAUGAUUAAAGGUGUUCCGGUAGACGAUGGGGAUGCGUUCCAUUAGAUAGUAGGCGGGGUAACGGCCCACCUAGUCUUCGAUGGAUAGGGGUUCUGAGAGGAAGGUCCCCCACAUUGGAACUGAGACACGGUCCAAACUCCUACGGGAGGCAGCAGUGGGGAAUAUUGCACAAUGUGGGAAACCCUGAUGCAGCGACGCCGCGUGAAGAAAGAAGUAUCGCGGUAUGUAAACUUCUAUCAGCAGGGAAGAAAAUGACGGUACCUGACUAAGAAGCCCCGGCUAACUACGUGCCAGCAGCCGCGGUAAUACGGAGGAUCCGAGCGUUAUCCGGAUUUAUUGGGUUUAAAGGGAGCGUAGAUGGAUGUUUAAGUCAGUUGUGAAAGUUUGCGGCUCAACCGUAAAAUUGCAGUUGAUACUGGAUAUCUUGAGUGCAGUUGAGGCAGGCGGAAUUCGUGGUGUAGCGGUGAAAUGCUUAGAUAUCACGAAGAACUCCGAUUGCGAAGGCAGCCUGCUAAGCUGCAACUGACAUUGAGGCUCGAAAGUGUGGGUAUCAAACAGGAUUAGAUACCCUGGUAGUCCACACGGUAAACGAUGAAUACUCGCUGUUUGCGAUAUACGGCAAGCGGCCAAGCGAAAGCGUUAAGUAUUCCACCUGGGGAGUACGCCGGCAACGGUGAAACUCAAAGGAAUUGACGGGGGCCCGCACAAGCGGAGGAACAUGUGGUUUAAUUCGAUGAUACGCGAGGAACCUUACCCGGGCUUAAAUUGCAGAUGAAUUACGGUGAAAGCCGUAAGCCGCAAGGCAUCUGUGAAGGUGCUGCAUGGUUGUCGUCAGCUCGUGCCGUGAGGUGUCGGCUUAAGUGCCAUAACGAGCGCAACCCUUGUUGUCAGUUACUAACAGGUCAUGCUGAGGACUCUGACAAGACUGCCAUCGUAAGAUGUGAGGAAGGUGGGGAUGACGUCAAAUCAGCACGGCCCUUACGUCCGGGGCUACACACGUGUUACAAUGGGGGGUACAGAGGGCCGCUACCACGCGAGUGGAUGCCAAUCCCCAAAACCUCUCUCAGUUCGGACUGGAGUCUGCAACCCGACUCCACGAAGCUGGAUUCGCUAGUAAUCGCGCAUCAGCCACGGCGCGGUGAAUACGUUCCCGGGCCUUGUACACACCGCCCGUCAAGCCAUGGGAGCCGGGGGUACCUGAAGUGCGUAACCGCGAGGAGCGCCCUAGGGUAAAACUGGUGACUGGGGCU
rnacentral:rRNA from 1 species